AUGUACAGGGGCGUAUUGAUAACUCUUCUUUCUUUUUCACUAGUUUUGCAAAAGAAAAAUAUAUUCUUUCCUUCUUCAAAAACAAUCAAACAAACCAUAUUGAAAAAUUGUAAGUCAGAUCUAACAACAAGACAAGAAACAUUUGGACAAAAGAAGUGUACCAAAGAGGAUUCGGUGUGGAUGCUUGGAGUUACGAUCGGAAGCAUCGUCACGAGUUCAUGGGCUGAAUGGAGAAAGAUCGAGAGGAGGUUCGUGUUGCUGUAUUGGAGUGUAUUCCGCAACUGA